rnacentral:rRNA from 1 species
ACGGAGGGAGCAAGCGUUGUUCGGAUUUACUGGGCGUAAAGGGCGUCUAGGCUGAUUUGAAAGUCAGAUGUGAAACCCCCCGGCUCAACCGGGGACCUGCAUUUGAUACUGCAAGUCUUGAGUACGGAAGAGGUGAGAGGAAUUCCUGGUGUUGUGGUGAGAUGCUGUAUUCCUUGAGGGACCAUUUGAGGGGAAGGCGUCGCAGCGGGCCGGUUGCGAAAGUGAAGAGCGAUAGUGGGUGGCGCGAAGCG